GACGAACGCUGGCGGCGUGCUUAACACAUGCAAGUCGAACGGAAAGGCCCUGCUUUUGUGGGGUGCUCGAGUGGCGAACGGGUGAGUAACACGUGAGUAACCUGCCCUUGACUUUGGGAUAACUUCAGGAAACUGGGGCUAAUACCGGAUAGGAGCUCCUGCUGCAUGGUGGGGGUUGGAAAGUUUCGGCGGUUGGGGAUGGACUCGCGGCUUAUCAGCUUGUUGGUGGGGUAGUGGCUUACCAAGGCUUUGACGGGUAGCCGGCCUGAGAGGGUGACCGGCCACAUUGGGACUGAGAUACGGCCCAGACUCCCGGGAGGCAGCAGUGGGGAAUAUUGCACAAUGGGCGGAAGCCUGAUGCAGCAACGCCGCGUGCGGGAUGACGGCCUUCGGGUUGUAAACCGCUUUCGCCUGUGACGAAGCGUGAGUGACGGUAAUGGGUAAAGAAGCACCGGCUAACUACGUG
rnacentral:rRNA from 1 species